rnacentral:rRNA from 1 species
UACGUAGGGGGCAAGCGUUGUCCGGAAUCAUUGGGCGUAAAGCGCGUGUAGGCGGUUCGGUAAGUCGGCUGUGAAAGUCCAGGGCUCAACCCUGGGAUGCCGGUCGAUACUGCCUGACUAGAGUUCGGAAGAGGCGAGUGGAAUUCCCGGUGUAGCGGUGAAAUGCGCAGAUAUCGGGAGGAACACCAAUGGCGAAGGCGGCUCACUGGCCCGAUACUGACGCUGAGGCACGGAAAGCGUGGGGAGCAAACAGG